GAUGAACGCUGACAGAAUGCUUAACACAUGCAAGUCAACUUGAAUUUGGGGUUUUUAACUUAGAUUUGGGUGGCGGACGGGUGAGUAACGCGUAAAGAACUUGCCUCACAGCUAGGGACAACAUUUAGAAAUGAAUGCUAAUACCUGAUAUUAUGAUUUUAAGGCAUCUUAGAAUUAUGAAAGCUAUAAGCACUGUGAGAGAGCUUUGCGUCCCAUUAGCUAGUUGGAGAGGUAACAGCUCACCAAGGCGAUGAUGGGUAGCCGGCCUGAGAGGGUGAACGGCCACAAGGGGACUGAGACACGGCCCUUACUCCUACGGGAGGCAGCAGUGGGGAAUAUUGGACAAUGGACCGAGAGUCUGAUCCAGCAAUUCUGUGUGCACGAUGAAGUUUUUCGGAAUGUAAAGUGCUUUCAGUUGGGAAGAAAAAAAUGACGGUACCAACAGAAGAAGUGACGGCUAAAUACGUGCCAGCAGCCGCGGUAAUACGUAUGUCACGAGCGUUAUCCGGAUUUAUUGGGCGUAAAGCGCGUCUAGGUGGUUAUGUAAGUCUGAUGUGAAAAUGCAGGGCUCAACUCUGUAUUGCGUUGGAAACUGUAUAACUAGAGUACUGGAGAGGUAAGCGGAACUACAAGUGUAGAGGUGAAAUUCGUAGAUAUUUGUAGGAAUGCCGAUGGGGAAGCCAGCUUACUGGACAGAUACUGACGCUAAAGCGCGAAAGCGUGGGUAGCAAACAGG
rnacentral:rRNA from 1 species